UCGAGGCCUGAAGAGUUAAAAUUGUAUAUGUGCGGGUGUAAAAAGUUAAGCUUAAGCUUACAGGUUUAAACCUUCCUGGUGCAGCUGUGAAAAUAAGACAGAGUGAAGUAGCACCUUGACAGUAGGCACUCCAUUUUGGAGCACUUGAGACUGCAUUCUGGGAAAGCACCCCCCCCCCCCACCGUGAGACUCUGGUCUGAAACUAUGAUCUCAAAUAGUCGGACAAUAGCAGUGCACUACAUCACCCUUGGCAGAGCACAAAAACCCCCUAGCAUGAUUGCUCAAGCUUAAAAGUAGAAAGGUUGCACCUGGGUUACCUGGGCUAAUAAUGAAGAUGUGAUUUGUCUAUGUCUUAAGAUCAUAAUUGCUGAUUGUAAGACUUUAGCAACCGCUUAACAACCGUGUAUUCUCUUCCCCUUCCCGGUUUUGCGGUUUUUGCCUUUAUAAACCCUAACCUUUGGUUAUUCGGGGCUGCUCUGUUCAUGUAUGGUCAGACAGCCCCAGCAUGCUGGAUAAUCAAUAAAGCUUCCCCUUGCUGUUUGCAUAA